GCCUUGGCUUUCCACAGUCAAACCGGCUCCUGUAAAGUUACAAACAUGCCGAAAAGAAAAGUCGUGACACCUGACACAACAGAGAGAGACUGGCUGCGGAGAAACGUUCCUACACGGACUUUGACGAGAUGGAAAAAAAAAGGAAAAUCAACAGAGCUCUGAGUGACAGCGGGAAGCACACGACGCAACAACAUGAAGGUGAUGAAGAUAAUACCCAGAGAGAAGAGCAGAGACCAGGACCUCUCACCGUACCACAACAGG